GAUGAAGAACGUAGUGAAAUGCGAUAAGUAAUGUGAAUUGCAGAAUUCAGUGAAUCAUCGAAUCUUUGAACGCACAUUGCGCCCCCUGGUAUUCCGGGGGGCAUGCCUGUUCGAGCGUCAUUUCACCACUCAAGCCUCGCUUGGUAUUGGGCAACGCGGUCCGCCGCGUGCCUCAAAUCGACCGGCUGGGUCUUCUGUCCCCUAAGCGUUGUGGAAACUAUUCGCUAAAGGGUGCUCGGGAGGCUACGCCGUAAAACAAACCCAUUUCUAAGGUUGACCUAGGAUCAGGUAGGGAUACCCGCUGAACUUAAGCAUAUCAAUAAGCGGAGGA
rnacentral:misc_RNA from 1 species